UGGGGUGUGGCUCUAGCUGGUAGAGUGCCUGCCUCACAAACAGGAAGCCUGGGCUAGAUUCCCAGCACUGCAU
rnacentral:tRNA from 1 species